UGCAGUCGACGCUUUGUGGUUCAACUGAUUUGAAGAGCUUGCUCAGAUAUGACGAUGGACAUUGCAAAGAGUGGCGAACGGGUGAGUAACACGUGGGAAACCUACCUCUUAGCAGGGGAUAACAUUUGGAAACAGAUGCUAAUACCGUAUAACAAUGACAACCGCAUGGUUGUUAUUUAAAAGAUGGUUCUGCUAUCACUAAGAGAUGGUCCCGCGGUGCAUUAGCUAGUUGGUAAGGUAAUGGCUUACCAAGGCGAUGAUGCAUAGCCGAGUUGAGAGACUGAUCGGCCACAAUGGGACUGAGACACGGCCCAUACUCCUACGGGAGGCAGCAGUAGGGAAUCUUCCACAAUGGGCGAAAGCCUGAUGGAGCAACGCCGCGUGUGUGAUGAAGGGUUUCGGCUCGUAAAACACUGUUGUAAGAGAAGAAUGACAUUGAGAGUAACUGUUCAAUGUGUGACGGUAUCUUACCAGAAAGGAACGGCUAAAUACGUGCCAGCAGCCGNCGGU
rnacentral:rRNA from 1 species